rnacentral:rRNA from 1 species
UACGAAGGGGGCGAGCGUUGUUCGGAAUCACUGGGCUUAAAGCGUGCGUAGGCGGAUUUAUAAGUCAGAAGUGAAAUCCCGGGGCUUAACCCCGGAACUGCUUUUGAGACUGUAAAUCUGGAAUCCGGUAGAGGUUAGUGGAAUAUCCAGUGUAGAGGUGAAAUUCGCAGAUAUUGGAUAGAACACCAGUGGCGAAGGCGACUAACUGGGCCGGUAUUGACGCUGAGGUACGAAAGCGUGGGGAUCAAACAGG